AGCGGUUUCAAUGAAGUUUUCGGAUGGAUUUGAAAUUGACUUAGCGGCGGACGGGUGAGUAACGCGUGGGUAACCUGUCUUACACUGGGGGAUAACAGUUAGAAAUGACUGCUAAUACCGCAUAAGCGCACAGGGCCACAUGGUCUGGUGUGAAAAACUCCGGUGGUGUAAGAUGGACCCGCGUCUGAUUAGGUAGUUGGUGGGGUAACGGCCCACCAAGCCGACGAUCAGUAGCCGACCUGAGAGGGUGACCGGCCACAUUGGGACUGAGACACGGCCCAAACUCCUACGGGAGGCAGCAGUGGGGAAUAUUGGACAAUGGGCGAAAGCCUGAUCCAGCGACGCCGCGUGAGUGAAGAAGUAUUUCGGUAUGUAAAGCUCUAUCAGCAGGGAAGAAAAUGACGGUACCUGACUAAGAAGCCCCGGCUAACUACGUGCCAGCAGCCGCGGUAAUACGUAGGGGGCAAGCGUUAUCCGGAUUUACUGGGUGUAAAGGGAGCGUAGACGGUUAAGCAAGUCUGAAGUGAAAGCCCGGGGCUCAACCCCGGUACUGCUUUGGAAACUGUUUGACU
rnacentral:rRNA from 1 species